AGCAUCCUUCCCUGCAGUUUUCAUCAUUCCUAAACUCCCCAGAGAUGUUCAGACAAAGUUGGACCAAAAACAGGCAUGCAAGAUUGAGACAUCAGAUCACAACAAAAUCAUAAGAACAUUGUAUGAAAGCAUGGCUCCGAUUACAAUCAUACCCAUCACAUGUCUCUCAAAAGAAAGUUCAAAUAUGAGCGAGGGCCACUGGUAGAUGAUAAAGAGGUGAGAAGAAUGAAACAGAAAUUUGGUCAUCACAGAAAGCCUUUGCAACAGGAAGAAACCACUAGCAAACGAACCAAGACAUCAAAGGAGGUGGAUGUUAUUGGUGAGGAUGCUACCUCAGUAGAGAGCCAUGUAAAAGUCCUGCAGGACCAGUACUGAAAGACACAGCCAGAUGCAUUGUGGAGGAGCGGAUGCUGAGGACAUUCGCUUGGAGAUGGCGAGAGAUUGCC